rnacentral:rRNA from 1 species
UACGUAGGGACCGAGCGUUGUCCGGAUUCAUUGGGCGUAAAGAGCUCGUAGGCGGCUGUUCAAGUCGAACGUGAAAACUCGGAGCUCAACUCCGAGCCUGCGUUCGAUACUGGACGGCUAGAGUCUGGUAGGGGGAUCUGGAAUUCCUGGUGUAGCGGUGGAAUGCGCAGAUAUCGGGAGGAACACCAGUAGCGAAGGCGGCUCGCUGGGCCACUCCUGACGCUGAGACGCGAAAGCUAGGGGAGCGAACAGG